rnacentral:rRNA from 1 species
GUGGGGAAUUUUGGACAAUGGGCGCAAGCCUGAUCCAGCAAUGCCGCGUGCAGGAAGAAGGCCUUCGGGUUGUAAACUGCUUUUGUCAGGGAAGAAAUCUUCUGGGCUAAUACCCCGGGAGGAUGACGGUACCUGAAGAAUAAGCACCGGCUAACUACGUGCCAGCAGCCGCGGUAAUACGUAGGGUGCGAGCGUUAAUCGGAAUUACUGGGCGUAAAGCGUGCGCAGGCGGCUUUGCAAGACAGAUGUGAAAUCCCCGGGCUCAACCUGGGAACUGCAUUUGUGACUGCAAGGCUAGAGUACGGCAGAGGGGGAUGGAAUUCCGCGUGUAGCAGUGAAAUGCGUAGAUAUGCGGAGGAACACCAAUGGCGAAGGCAAUCCCCUGGGCCUGUACUGACGCUCAUGCACGAAAGCGUGGGGAGCAAACAGGAUUAGAAACCCGUGUAGUCC